GGCGCCCGAGUUGUAAUUUGUAGAGGAUGCUAUUGGGUUGCCACCGGUCUAAGUUCCUUGGAACAGGACGUCACAGAGGGUGAGAAUCCCGUAUGUGACCGGCCAGGCGCCUUCUGUAUAGCUCCUUCGACGAGUCGGGUUGUUUGGGAAUGCAGCCCUAAAUGGGAGGUAAAUUUCUUCUAAAGCUAAAUACCGGCCAGAGACCGAUAGCGCACAAGUAGAGUGAUCGAAAGAUGAAAAGCACUUUGGAAAGAGAGUUAAAAAGCACGUGAAAUUGUUGAAAGGGAAGCGCUUGCAAUCAGUCUCGACGGCGGCUGUUCGGCCUCUCUUCUGAGUGGCUUAUUCAGUCGCCGCCGGGCCAGCAUCAGUUUUGGCGGCCGGAUAAAGGCGUGGGGAAUGUAGCUCCUCCGGGAGUGUUAUAGCCCCGCGUGCAAUACGGCCCGCCGGGACUGAGGUCCGCGCUUCGGCUAGGAUGCUGGCGAAAUGGUUGUAAGCGGCCCGUCUUGAAACACGGACCAAGGAGUCUAACAUCUACGCGAGUGUUUGGGUGUCAAACCCGUGCGCGCAAUGAAAGUGAACGGAGGUGGGAACCGCAAGGUGCACCAUCGACCGAUCCUGAUGUCUUCGGAUGGAUUUGAGUAAGAGCGUAGCUGUUGGGACCCGAAAGAUGGUGAACUAUGCCUGAAUAGGGUGAAGCCAGAGGAAACUCUGGUGGAGGCUCGCAGCGGUUCUGACG
rnacentral:rRNA from 1 species